GGGCUGUUGUGAUCAGGAACAAUGCCGGUCCGGUGGUUAAAGCUUGGAGAACUUUCCAGUUCAUCAGCCCCAUCAUUACCUACAUGCAUGGGGGAUCCCAGCAGGUGGUGGUGAGGAUGCACCACGUGAGUAGGGUGAGAGGCUGGAGACUCAACUGGUGUGGGCCAUCUCCAAGGAGACAGCCA